rnacentral:rRNA from 1 species
AUUGAACGCUAGCGGGAUGCUUUACACAUGCAAGUCGAACGGCAGCGCGGACUUCGGUCUGGCGGCGAGUGGCGAACGGGUGAGUAAUGUAUCGGAACGUGCCCAGUAGCGGGGGAUAACUACGCGAAAGCGUAGCUAAUACCGCAUACGCCCUACGGGGGAAAGCAGGGGAUCGUAAGACCUUGCACUAUUGGAGCGGCCGAUAUCGGAUUAGCUAGUUGGUGAGGUAACGGCUCACCAAGGCGACGAUCCGUAGCUGGUUUGAGAGGACGACCAGCCACACUGGGACUGAGACACGGCCCAGACUCCUACGGGAGGCAGCAGUGGGGAAUUUUGGACAAUGGGGGCAACCCUGAUCCAGCCAUCCCGCGUGUGAGAUGAAGGCCUUCGGGUUGUAAAGCACUUUUGGCAGGAAAGAAACGUCGCGGGCUAAUACCCCGUGGAACUGACGGUACCUGCAGAAUAAGCACCGGCUAACUACGUG